UACGUAGGAGACAAGCGUUGUCCGGAAUUACUGGGUGUAAAGCGCGUGUAGGCGGUAGGCCAAGUCUGCUGUGAAAUCGCCCGGCUCAACUGGGCGCGGUCGGUGGAAACUGGUCAACUGGAGGACGGUAGAGGCGAGUGGAAUUCCCGGUGUAGUGGUGAAAUGCGUAGAGAUCGGGAGGAACACCAGUGGCGAAGGCGACUACCUGGCCUGUUCUUGACGCUGAGGCGCGAAAGCCAGGGGAGCAAACGGG
rnacentral:rRNA from 1 species